UACAGAGGGUGCAAGCGUUAAUCGGAAUUACUGGGCGUAAAGGGUGCGUAGGUGGUUUGAUAAGUUGGGUGUGAAAGUCCUGGGCUUAACCUAGGGAUUGCGCUCAAUACUGUUAAGCUAGAGUACUGUAGAGGAAGGUGGAAUUUCCAGUGUAGCGGUGAAAUGCGUAGAUAUUGGAAGGAACAUCAGUGGCGAAGGCGACUUUCUGGACAGAUACUGACACUGAGGCACGAAAGCGUGGGGAGCAAACAGG
rnacentral:rRNA from 1 species